UGGGGAAUAUUGCACAAUGGGCGCAAGCCUGAUGCAGCCAUGCCGCGUGUAUGAAGAAGGCCUUCGGGUUGUAAAGUACUUUCAGUCGGGAGGAAGGUGGUAAGGUUAAUAACCUUAUCAAUUGACGUUACCGACAGAAGAAGCACCGGCUAACUCCGUGCCAGCAGCCGCGGUAAUACGGAGGGUGCAAGCGUUAAUCGGAAUUACUGGGCGUAAAGCGCACGCAGGCGGUUGAUUGAGUCAGAUGUGAAAUCCCCGGGCUUAACCCGGGAAUUGCAUCUGAUACUGGUCAGCUAGAGUCUUGUAGAGGGGGGUAGAAUUCCAUGUGUAGCGGUGAAAUGCGUAGAGAUGUGGAGGAAUACCGGUGGCGAAGGCGGCCCCCUGGACAAAGACUGACGCUCCGGUGCGAAAGCGUGGGGAGCAAACAGG
rnacentral:rRNA from 1 species